rnacentral:misc_RNA from 1 species
UCAACCUUCAAGCCCUGCUUGCUAUUGGACCCCUCGACGAAAGUUGAUGGCCCCAAAGAUAAUGACGGCGUUGUGGCAACCCCAGAUGCAAUGAGCUUUAACACGCACGCGUCACGGUGGUACCAUGACCCCAGUCUUGAACAACUAUUCUGA